rnacentral:rRNA from 1 species
UACGUAGGGUGCGAGCGUUGUCCGGAAUUAUUGGGCGUAAAGAGCUCGUAGGCGGUUCGUCGCGUCGGCUGUGAAAUCCCGAGGCUCAACCUCGGGUCUGCAGUCGAUACGAGCAAACUAGAGUGUUGCAGGGGAGACUGGAAUUCCUGGUGUAGCGGUGAAAUGCGCAGAUAUCAGGAGGAACACCGGUGGCGAAGGCGGGUCUCUGGGCAACAACUGACGCUGAGGAGCGAAAGCUAGGGGAGCAAACGGG